rnacentral:rRNA from 1 species
UACGAAGGGGGCUAGCGUUGCUCGGAAUUACUGGGCGUAAAGCGCACGUAGGCGGCUUUCUAAGUCGGGGGUGAAAGCCCGGGGCUCAACCUCGGAACUGCCUUUGAGACUGUGAGACUCGAGACCGAGAGAGGAGAGUGGAAUUCCCAGUGUAGAGGUGAAAUUCGUAGAUAUUGGGAAGAACACCAGUGGCGAAGGCGGCUCUCUGGCUCGGUACUGACGCUGAGGCGCGAAAGCGUGGGGAGCAAACAGG